GUGUCAGCAGCCGCGGUAAUACGUAGGGUGCAAGCGUUGUCCGGAAUUAUUGGGCGUAAAGAGCUCGUAGGCGGUUCGUCGCGUCGGCUGUGAAAUCCCGGAGCUCAACUCCGGGCCUGCAGUCGAUACGGGCGGACUUGAGUUCGGCAGGGGAGACUGGAAUUCCUGGUGUAGCGGUGAAAUGCGCAGAUAUCAGGAGGAACACCGGUGGCGAAGGCGGGUCUCUGGGCCGAAACUGACGCUGAGGAGCGAAAGCGUGGGGAGCGAACAGGAUUAGAUACCCUGGUAGUCCACGCCGUAAACGUUGGGCGCUAGGUGUGGGGGCCAUUCCACGGUCUCCGUGCCGCAGCUAACGCAUUAAGCGCCCCGCCUGGGGAGUACGGCCGCAAGGCUAAAACUCAAAGGAAUUGACGGGG
rnacentral:rRNA from 1 species